GCCGGGGUGGCGAAACUGGUAGACGCAGCAGACUCAAAAUCUGCCGGGGGCAACCCCAUGUCGGUUCGAUUCCGACCCUCGGCACCA
rnacentral:tRNA from 1 species